rnacentral:rRNA from 1 species
AUCCAAGCUACGAAGAGCCAAUGGUGGAUGCCUUGGCGCCAGAUGCCGAAGAAGGACGUGGGUGGCUGCGAAAAGCCACGGGGAGCUGCCGACCAAGCGGAUCCGUGGAUGUCCGAAUGGGGAAACCCGGCAGGGGUCAUGCCCUGUCACGCCGACCUGAACACAUAGGGCCGGCCGAGGCAACCGGGGGAAUUGAAACAUCUCAGUACCCCGAGGAGAGGAAAGCAACAGCGACUCCCUGAGUAGCGGCGAGCGAAACGGGAAGAGCCCAAACCGUCACAGUGGUACAGCCUGCCGGCGAUGCUGCGACGGGGUCGUGGGACCCACCUGGAGCGACGGCAGUCGUUCCGAGGAGUUACAAAGCUGAUCGCUAGUGGAAGCGCUCUGGAAAGGCGCGCCGCAGAGGGUAAGAGCCCCGUACGCGAAAGCAGUCAGCCUCCUGGUGGAGUUCCCGAGUAGCACGGGAUCCGGGAAAGCCCGUGUGAAUCUGCGAGGACCACCUCGCAAGGCUAAGUACAAGCUGGCGACCGAUAGCGAACUAGUACCGUGAGGGAAAGGUGAAAAGUACCCCGGGAGGGGAGUGAAAUAGUACCUGAAACCAUUGGCUUACAAGCAGUCAGAGCGUCGUUGUCGGGCUUCGGCCCGGCAGCCGUGAUGGCGUGCCUUUUGAAGAAUGAGCCGGCGAGUUACCGUUUGUGGCGAGGUUAACCCGAGAGGGGGGAGCCGGAGCGAAAGCGAGUCUGAACAGGGCGUUCAGUCGCAGGCGGUAGACCCGAAGCCGAGUGAUCUAUCCAUGGGCAGGCUGAAGCGAGGGUAAGACCUCGUGAAGGGCCGAACCCACCAAGGUUGAAAACUUGGGGGAUGACCUGUGGAUAGGGGUGAAAGGCCAAGCAAACUCGGUGAUAGCUGGUUCUCCCCGAAAUGCAUUUGGGUGCAGCGUCGCGUGUUCAGUACCGGAGGUAGAGCACUGAUUGGUCAAGGGGGCCUACAAGCUUACCAAAAUCAGUCAAACUCCGAAUACCGGUACUCCACAGCGCGGCAGUGAGACCAUGGGGGAUAAGCUUCAUGGUCGAGAGGGAAACAGCCCAGAACGCCAGCUAAGGCCCCUAAUUCCAUGCUCAGUGGCAAACGAUGUGGGAUUGCCCAGACAGCCAGGAGGUUGGCUUAGAAGCAGCCACCCUUGAAAGAGUGCGUAACAGCUCACUGGUCGAGUGGUCCUGCGCGGACAAUGUAACGGGGCUCAAGCAUGGAGCCGAAGCUGCGUCGUCGUAUACACCUCCGGGUGUGCACGUCGGGUAGGGGAGCGUCGAUCUUGCCGUGAAGCGGGUGCGUAAGCACACGUGGAGCGAGGUCGAGUGCGAAUGCCGGUAUGAGUAGCGAAAGAGGGGGGGAGGAACCCCUCCGCCGAAUGCCCAAGGGUUCCUGGGGAAGGCUCAUCCGCCCAGGGUUAGUCGGGAGCUAAGGCAAGGCCGCAAGGCGUAGUCGAUGCACAACAGGUUGAUAUUCCUGUACCACCGUGUCCGCGCUCAACCCUAUGGCGACUGAUCAGGGGCUGGUCCUUCGGGACCGAACCUGUCCCAAUCGUCGGACGGGUAGCGAAGGGGAGACGCAGGAGGGUACGUCAGCCCGGGCGAUGGUUGUCCCGGGGCAAGCGUGUAGGGGGUCCGAUAGGCAAAUCCGUCGGACACACACCCCGAGACGCGAUGCCGAUCCGCUUCAGGAGAAGUGACUGAUCCCACGCUGCCGAGAAAAACCUCUAGUCAGCUGGCACGGUGCCCGUACCCCAAACCAACUCAGGUGGGCACGUAGAGAAUACGAAGGCGAUCGAGAUAACUCUGGUUAAGGAACUCGGCAAAUUGCCCCCGUAACUUCGGGAGAAGGGGGGCCCUAGUAGGGUGACGGACUUCGCGUCCAGAGCCCGAGCGGGCCGCAGUGACCAGGGCCAAGCGACUGUUUACUAAAAACACAGGUGCAUGCUAACUCGAAAGAGGAUGUAUAUGCACUGACGCCUGCCCGGUGCCGGAAGGUUACGUGGAAGGGUUAGCUUCGGCGAAGCUCUGAAACUAAGCCCCGGUAAACGGCGGCCGUAACUAUAACGGUCCUAAGGUAAAGAGCCCUCACGUGCGAGGGCGUUGCCCCUCCAUACGGUGACGUGUGGAAUUAGCAGUUGGCUAUAUGCUGGAAAUCCCGUUGUAUCCGGCGGUACUCGUUCACUGUCACACCUGAGUUCUAGGGUGCAACAGUGGGCAGUCACAAUCCGUCCGGUGCGGAGAAUCAGCAGGAAAGGCCAGAUGCCUUGGAGUGGGCCGUCGGCUUCGUCGACGGCGAAGGCUGUUUCUCGAUCUCGGUGGUGCGAAACCGUACAUGCCGACUCGGCUGGCAAGUCCAGCAUGAGUUUUCGGUCGUACAGGCCGCACCAUCACGCUCCGCCCUCGAGUUCCUCCGGGAGCUCUUCGGGUGCGGAACGCUGAUCGAGAAUCGCCGCCACGACAACCAUCGAGACACUCUCCUCCGCUUCUCUGUGAAGCGGAGGCGGGAUCUUGUGGAUGUGGUGGUGCCGUUCUUCGAAGAACGUCCACUCAGAACCGCGAAGCGUCACGACUUCGAGCGGUUCGCCCAGGUUCUCCAGAGCAUGGAGGCCGGCGAGCAUCUCGAGGAAGACGGGCUCCGGCGAAUUGCUCAGGAGACUGAGCUGAUGAACCGGAGGCAGCGGUCUCGGUAUCUGGAAUCCUCAGAGGCCAUACGCCAACCGACUCGAACGACAUCGAGUUGAAGAUAUGGUCCUAGCCUCAUGGCGACAUGGGGGCUCACUAGAGCGAAAUUCCUUGUCGGGUAAGUGAAUUGCCCUGCGCGGAGGUGACUCCGUGCGAACACCCGCUCAUAACGGCGGAACCCUCAGUAGCUGUCCUGUACAAGGCGGGACGAGAGCUGCCGGGCGACGCCGUGGGAAGUCCUCUGCCGCAUCUGCGGUAUGACCCCGUAACGACUGAUCCCCUUCGGGGGAGAGGCCUCGGACGCUGUCACACCCGAUCCAUAUGGUGAGGGCGUGGCAAAUCUAUGGACGAGGCAACACGCGGGCUCUCGAAACGACAGUGUCACCGACCUGCCGUCAUACCUAUCCGGGUACUUCGACGGUGAGGGAUGCUUCACGGUCUCGAUCGCACCCCGUCGCACUCUCCGAGUGCGGUGGGAAGUGCGGCCGAGUGCUUCGGUCAGCCAGAACGCGGACCGCUCCGAGGUGUUGGACGAGAUCCAGCAGUACUUCGGUUGCGGAACGAUUCGGCCCGACCCUGGCGACAAGACCGUGAAGUGGGAGGUUCGCAGCCUCCGCCCGCUCCUGGAGCGGGUCGUUCCCCACUUUCGGCAGUACCCGCUCCGAUCGAGCAAACAGCAGGACUUCGAGCGUUUUUUCGAGGUCUGCGAGCUGAUGGCUCGAGGUGAGCACUUGGUAUCGGCCGGUCUGAUCCGGAUCGCGACGUGUGCGCAGGCGAUGAACCCCAGUGGUCGUCGCCGGUACCACAUCGAAGAGAUCCUGGAGACGCUGAACGUCGAGAUGAAGGCAUAGUCUGCCCCGUUGGAAACAACGGAAUAAGGCGAAGUUCCGACCUGCACGAAUGGCGCAACGACUUGGCUACUGUCUCAACCAGAGACUCGGCGAAAUUGCACGACGAGUAAAGAUGCUCGUUGCCCGCAGAAGGACGGAAAGACCCCGUGGACCUUUACUGUAGUUUGAUGUUGGGUUUCGGUACGGAUUGUGUAGGAUAGGUGGGAGGCUUGGAAGCUCGGGCGUUAGCUCGAGUGGAGCCAAUCUUGAAAUACCACCCUGUUCGUAUUGAGGCUCUAACCUGGACCCGUAAUCCGGGUCAGGAACAGCGUCAGGCAGGCAGUUUGACUGGGGCGGUCGCCUCCCAAAGAGUAACGGAGGCGCCCAAAGGUUCCCUCAGCCUGGUCGGCCAUCAGGCGUCGAGUGCAAAGGCACAAGGGAGCUUAACUGCGAGACCAACAAGUCGAGCAGAUGCGAAAGCAGGGCUUAGUGACCCGGCCGUGGCGUGUGGAAGCGCGGUCGAUUAACGGAUAAAAGGUACCCCGGGGAUAACAGGCUUAUCUUGCCCAAGAGUUCACAUCGACGGCAAGGUUUGGCACCUCGAUGUCGGCUCGUCGCAUCCUGGGGGUGAAGCAUCUCCCAAGGGUUGGGCUGUUCGCCCAUUAAAGCGGUACGCGAGCUGGGUUUAGAACGUCGUGAGACAGUGGAAUGAACGCGCUGUCUAAAAAUUCGGCUAUAUGCUGGAAACUCCGAGUAUCUGGCGGUACUCGUUCACUGUCACACCCGGUGUUUAGGGUGGUGACGUGAGCAGUGAAAAACCGACCAGUGCGGACAAUCAGCAGGGAAGGCUUGAGGCCUACCUGAGCGGAUUUGUCGACGGAGAAGGAUCAUUUUCGGUCGGUGUACAACGACGCACCGACCUGGCGUUCGGUUUUCAACUGGUACCCGAGUUUCGGGUAUCACAGAAUGCCGAGCGUGUGACCGUUCUGGAGAUCAUGCGACGUGAGCUCGGCUGCGGCCGGCUCAUGCUCAACGAUCGCCAUCGCGACUCCGACAGGACUCACGUCCUGGUGGUGCGCAGGCGAUCGGAUCUUCUGGACUCGGUCAUACCCUUCUUCCGAAGAAAUCCUCUCCUGUCCGAGAAACGCCAUACGUUCGAGACCUUCGCCGAGAUCGUCACGUCGAUGAACAGACGUGUCCAUCUCGAAGCGAAGGGGUUCGAAUCGUUGGUACGCCGGGCCUUCACCAUGAAUGGUGGAGGACGGUACCGACGCUGGCGACUCGAGGACGUGGUAGGUCCUGAGAACCCUCAGAGACUGCACGCCGAACACACCGAACAGGUGUGAAGAUACAGUCCGAGCUGCAUGGCGACAUGCAGAGUCAGGCAGAAAUGACCUGGCCGUCGGUUCCAUCGUGAACUCCCUUGCGGAGUCACUGUGGAGCCGUGGUAACAGAACUGUCGGUCCCUAUCCUCUGCGGGUGUAGGAGAUUUGAGGGGAGCUGUCCCUAGUACGAGAGGACCGGGACGGACGCAGCUCUCGUGUGCCAGUUGUUCCGCCAGGAGCACGGCUGGUUGGCGACCUGCGGAAAGGAUAAGCGCUGAAGGCAUCUAAGCGCGAAGCCUGCCUCAAAACGAGAUCUCCCACCGGGUUAACCGGGUAAGGCCCCUGGUAGACCACCAGGUUGAUAGGCCGGAGGUGUAAGCACGGCAACGUGUUCAGCCGACCGGUACUAAUCGGCCGAGGGCUUGGACUU